GAACGAUCGCAGACAAACUUGGAGCGACACGAGGCAGAGUGGGAAAAGAAAAGCCAAGAAGAUGAACGGUGAAAAAGAGCAGAAAUUCGGCAGCAAUGAAGAGAAAAACGACAAUAGGGUGGAGGGAUUUUGGGGAAAGUAAAAAAAAAGGAAAAAAAAGAUGAACAGAAUAUUUGAUAACCACCCCAAUCCCUUAUUUCUCUCCAUCAAAAUCCUCACUAAAUCCACUACUCAGAUUUUUAGUCCAUCUCAAACUCUCUUGGAUGCAUGAGCAAAAAUAAUGCCCACGCC
rnacentral:lncRNA from 1 species